rnacentral:rRNA from 1 species
AUUGAACGCUGGCGGCAUGCUUUACACAUGCAAGUCGAACGGUAACAGGUUAAGCUGACGAGUGGCGAACGGGUGAGUAAUGCAUCGGAACGUGCCCGGUCGUGGGGGAUAACGCAGCGAAAGCUGCGCUAAUACCGCAUACGAUCUGAGGAUGAAAGCGGGGGACCGUAAGGCCUCGCGCGAUCGGAGCGGCCGAUGUCAGAUUAGGUAGUUGGUGGGGUAACGGCCCACCAAGCCGACGAUCUGUAGCUGGUCUGAGAGGACGACCAGCCACACUGGGACUGAGACACGGCCCAGACUCCUACGGGAGGCAGCAGUGGGGAAUUUUGGGCAAUGGGCGAAAGACUGAUCCAGCAAUGCCGCGUGCAGGAAGAAGGCCUUCGGGUUGUAAACUGCUUUUGUACGGAGCGAAAAGGUCCUUUCUAAUACAAGGGGCUCAUGACGGUACCGUAAGAAUAAGCACCGGCUAACUACGUGCCAGCCGCCGCCGUAA